GGGUGGGAGGAGAUUUGAAAGGAAAGGGCACAGAUCCUUAAAAGAACUUCCCAUUAAAAAUGAAUCCUGAUGCUAUUCUGGUUCAAGAGAAAGCUCCAAAUACACAAAGGUAAGUAAAUGGGAUGGGAAGAGAGAGGAAGGGGAAAGAAUGAGCAAGGGAGGGGGAGAAAAAGUGAGAAAAAGGAAAGGGAGAUUGAGAAAAAGGGGGAAGGGAGAGAGAGGGAGAGAGAAGGAGCACGCGCGCGUGCCCAUCUGGGCGAUGCAUCACAUUGAAAUUGCCCCGCAUUAAAAAUUCACCAGCCAGUGAAUUUUCAAGGGAUUUGUAGUAAUUAGAUGACAAAAUGCUGGCAAAUCUCAGGCUUGCCGAAGAUGUUACUCAGGGGUCAAAGACUCGACACUUUUGGCUGGGUAAUUUGUAAGUGUCAAUCACACUCAGCCAUCAGAGAGAAAGGAAAGAUCUAACGGCUGAAUUCUAACUAAGUCCAAUGUUCUUGCCUUCAGCCACCCUGUCUGCUAUCAUCCCCCGUCUCCCCCCACCACGUUAUCUAAUGCGAACGCAGGCACUGCCUCUCACCAGGGACUGGAGACUCAGCAGUUUAAACACUGAGUUUUCUUUUACAAAAACUUCCCACUUACGAUUUUUAAAACCCAGAUUUAUGAACUAAGAGAAAUUUGUUCAGUUCUCCAGGGAGCCGGUGAGAUGACGACACAGAGGUUAUGACAAUAGGCAGCUUCUCUGCGACUACUGCCUUUCCCUAGAUCUCCCAUGCCCCUUUCACUAACUGGCAGCGGAGUACACAGUGGCACAUCAAUACUUCUAGAGCAGACCCUCAAAAAGCCCACGGCUGCUUCUUUAGUGGCUGGGAAAGCUGGAUUUCCUCAUUCCUUGAUAGGUUCUUAGACUUGCUUUCCAACACUGGUCUCUUCCCCACACCUCACACUUCCUGCCUCCCCUGGUUCUGGCCUCCUUGGGAAAAGUACAAUUCUCAGUUAACAAAUGAGAAACUGUUUUAUUCAGACUGUUGUGGAAGACCAAGGCCCUGAUCCUGCAAUUAACUCAAUAUGGGUAUAAACCAUUGUGUUCAUUCGCAGCCAUCUGCAGUCAGUAGGGUCUGUAUGGGUGUAGGGCCCUGGCUGCAUGGAGAUCAAGUAUCCUUAAUUAGCAAACCCAGUAGGAAACCAAAGGCAGAGUAACUGAAGGAAAAUCACUGCAUGAACAACACUGCCAAGAUUAAAGUGGUAGGAAAGAAAGGGAAUGAUUUACUCCACUUUUCUAUUUAUUAACCAACACACUCUCUGUGAAGUAUAUCUAGGUGCAGGAAUCUCAGACAAAAGAGGUCAGACGCUUGCUGCUGCAAAAGAAACAGCAGCUUGGAGGGGAGGAUAAGAGAAAGUUUGUACUGCAGAGUCUUUUUGGAAGGACCACUCAGAUUUACAGAAUUACUCCAUACUUACACCAAGACAAGAGCAGGGGUUGGACUCAAGAAGCCUGAGACACAGUGGGGCACAGGACUCAGCAAUGCUGAUGCUGAACUGCAGCUGUACCCUUCUUCCAUGAGGAUUUAUACGGAUCCCCUAAAUCCCAAGACCUCCAUCUGUUUCAAGAAUGAUAAAGAGGGAGGAGAAAAAAGAAUGGCUGAAACUGUAGGAGCAGGACUGCUAUAAAAACCCAACAAUCAGGAGUCAAAAGCCAACCCUAGCCCAUCAGCUCCCAGAGCAGAAAGUUCGUUCUCUGCAUGACAAUGAAGAAUUAACAAGAUACCAGAAAAAUAUAUAUACAUAUCAAAGUCUCAGAAAAAAGCA